CCUANGGGUGGGCAGCAGCUAAGAAUCUUCCGCAAUGGACGAAAGUCUGACGGAGCGACGCCGCGUGAACGAUGAAGGCCGCAAGGUUGUAAAGUUCUUUUCUUGGGGAAGAAUAAGGCAGAGAGUGGAAUGCUCUGCUGAUGACAUUAACCAGGGAAUAAGCCCCGGCCAAUUACGUGCCAGCAGCCGCGGUAAUACGUAUGGGGCGAGCGUUGUUCGGAAUUAUUGGGCGUAAAGGGCGUGUAGGCGGUUUCAUAAGUCUGGUGUGAAAUGCUCUGGCUUAACCAGAGUUGCGCACUGGAAACUGCGAGACUAGAGUUUAGGAGGGGAAGCUGGAAUUCCUGGUGUAGGGGUGAAAUCUGUAGAUAUCAGGAAGAACACCAAUGGCGAAGGCAAGCUUCUGGACAUAGACUGACGCUGAGGCGCGAAAGCGUGGGGAGCAAACAGGAUUAGAUACCCGGNUANUC
rnacentral:rRNA from 1 species